UGCUAAUAAAUUGGCACGUUAGCACGUUAUUGCAAUAUCCCAUAGUACAUACAUGUUAUUAAAACUUGAACUAAUGCAUUGUGAGUCUUAUAAAUUGCUUACAUACCUCACCGAUUUCCCACUGUCUGGAAAACGCUCGGUUUAGUUCCUGUCUCCGCCUCCCAAAAUGUCUAGUGUAAUCGGAUUGGUCAGAUGACUACUCAACUGUUAUUGGUCAGCUGGGUUCGGCUUGUGUUUGAAAGUUACGCCCCUGACUACGCGUGGGUUGACACAGAUUCUGACUGAGUCACAGCCUCAGAGGCAUCGUAAACAAGCGUUAUAUUUCUCUAUAAACGAUGGUGUCUGUACUGCCUUACCACUUCGAGCUCGAUCCAGAGAGUUCAGAAGGCCGUUACGAUAUAAACGAUCUCCGUCAAUGAAUGCGAUUGGAUUUAACUUUUUUAGGUGUCCUUAGCUCUGCCAGAAUGCUAAACGAAGACGAAAAUGUGUUGCAAAGACAUCCAAAAGGUUUUAAGGAGAAUGCAACAGGUUCCAGGGCCUCUUACCUGCGUGAUUCAUCAUCCAGGUUUUGCACAAAUUGUCUAAAUCCCUACACACAGAACAUUUAUUGUACCGACUAUAAGCCUUUGAGGCGCAGGACUAGAAUACGCUUGGAGCUUCCUGAUCGGAAUGUUGGCUUCCGACGACCCCUGCACUGAAGAUGGCAUGCAAUCACGUCCUCCUUUGAAGGUCUCUCAAACUGUGAUGCCAGGUCCAUUGGAAUCGGGGUUUCCUUCAGCUUAUC